rnacentral:rRNA from 1 species
UACGUAGGGGGCAAGCGUUGUCCGGAUUUAUUGGGCGUAAAGAGCUCGUAGGCGGUUUGUCGCGUCUGGUGUGAAAAUCCAGGGCUUAACCCUGGACCUGCAUCGGGUACGGGCAGACUAGAGUGCGGUAGGGGAGAUCGGAAUUCCUGGUGUAGCGGUGAAAUGCGCAGAUAUCAGGAGGAACACCAAUAGCGAAGGCAGCUCGCUGGGACGGUAUUGACGCUAAGGCGCGAAAGCGUGGGGAGCAAACAGG